GAUCAGUAGCCGGCCUGAGAGGGUGGACGGCCACAUUGGGACUGAGACACGGCCCAGACUCCUACGGGAGGCAGCAGUAGGGAAUAUUGCACAAUGGGGGAAACCCUGAUGCAGCGACGCCGCGUGAGCGAAGAAGUAUCUCGGUGUGUAAAGCUCUAUCAGCAGGGAAGAAACUGACGGUACCUGACUAAGAAGCACCGGCUAAAUAC
rnacentral:rRNA from 1 species